GGGCCCGCACAAGCAGUGGAGUAUGUUGUUUAAUUCGAUGCAACGCGAAGAACCUUACCAGGGCUUGACAUCCUGCGAAGGCGGUAGAAACACCGCUGUGCCCUUCGGGGAACGCAGAGACAGGUGGUGCAUGGUUGUCGUCAGCUCGUGUCGUGAGAUGUUGGGUUAAGUCCCGCAACGAGCGCAACCCCUAUGAUCAGUUACUACGCAAGAGGACUCUGAUCAGACUGCUGUCGUAAGACGGAGGAAGGUGGGGAUGACGUCAAAUCAUCAUGCCCUUUAUGUCCUGGGCUACAAACGUACUACAAUGGCUGGAAACAGAGGGGUGCCAAAGCGCGAGCUGGAGCAAAUCCCCAAAAACAGUCUCAGUUCAGAUUGCAGGCUGCAACCCGCCUGCAUGAAGACGGAAUUGCUAGUAAUCGCGAAUCAGAAUGUCGCGGUGAAUACGUUCCCGGGCCUU
rnacentral:rRNA from 1 species